UACAGAGGUCUCAAGCGUUGUUCGGAUUCAUUGGGCGUAAAGGGUGUGUAGGUGGCGCGCUAAGUCGGGUGUGAAAUUUCGGAGCUUAACUCCGAAACUGCAUUCGAUACUGGCGUGCUUGAGGACUGGAGAGGAGACUGGAAUUCAUGGUGUAGCAGUGAAAUGCGUAGAGAUCAUGAGGAAGACCAGUGGCGAAGGCGGGUCUCUGGGCAGUUCCUGACACUGAGACACGAAGGCCAGGGGAGCAAACGGG
rnacentral:rRNA from 1 species